rnacentral:rRNA from 1 species
UACGGAGGGUGCAAGCGUUGCUCGGAAUCAUUGGGCGUAAAGCGCACGUAGGCGGCCUGUUAAGUCGGGUGUGAAAUCCCUGGGCUCAACCCAGGAAGUGCACUCGAAACUGGCAGGCUUGAGUACUGAAGAGGGUCGCGGAAUUCCCGGUGUAGAGGUGAAAUUCGUAGAUAUCGGGAGGAACACCAGUGGCGAAGGCGGCGACCUGGGCAGAUACUGACACUGAGGUGCGAAAGCGUGGGGAGCAAACAGG